GCCUGAGUGGUGAAACUGGUAGACGCGCCAGACUCAAAAUCUGGUAAGGGUAACCUGUGUCGGUUCGAGUCCGACCUCAGGCACCA
rnacentral:tRNA from 1 species